UCCCAAAGGCUGCCAACCUUCCAAACAAAGAACCACAGCCCCAAAAUUAAAACUGCUAGGGUUCUUAACAUCUACCAAAUUCACCAUUUUGUUUGGCAAUCGAUAGUAUACCACCAUGAAUAGAUCCAUGCCUCGUCCAUGAAAAUGUGGGACGACCAUACGGAGGAGAUGACCCCGGGUGACAUGGAGGCCGAGCGCGAGGGUCUCUCGUUUGAAGCUGACCCUGUGGUUUAUUCCAGAAUAUUCUAGCAUUCUUUAGCUGCUAACAUUAUUUUUGGAUAUAUUGGUCCUGGGGUAAUGGGUUAUUUGGGCUAAUUUUUAUUGGGUUUGGGGAUUUGGGAAUUUGAGUAUCUGUUCAAUUGGGUCAGACUUUAUGUAACUGGGUUAAGUUUAUAUUAAGGGAUUUUGGGUUUAAGUUAUUUUUGGGCCAAAUAUUUGUAACUGGACACUGGACUUAUUUAUUUGACUUAUUUUAAUAUUUUAAAA